rnacentral:hammerhead_ribozyme from 1 species
AUCCAACUGACCAGUCCGAAAUAGCACGAAACGUGCGUCCUAGAU